rnacentral:rRNA from 1 species
CUAAGAAUAUUCCGCAAUGGGCGAAAGCCUGACGGAGCGACGCCGCGUGUGCGAAGAAGGCCGAAAGGUUGUAAAGCACUUUUGCGGGCGAAGAAUAAGGGGCGGAGGGAAUGCCGUCCCGAUGACGUUAGCCUGUGAAUAAGCCCCGGCUAAUUACGUGCCAGCAGCCGCGGUAACACGUAAGGGGCGAGCGUUGUUCGGAAUCAUUGGGCGUAAAGGGCGCGUAGGCGGUUACGCAAGUCUGGCGUGAAAGGCAAGGGCUCAACCCUUGGACUGCGCUGGAAACUGUGGAACUAGAGUCAUGGAGGGGGAGCUGGAAUUCCUGGUGUAGGGGUGAAAUCUGUAGAUAUCAGGAAGAACACCGGUGGCGAAGGCGAGCUUCUAGCCAAUGACUGACGCUGAGGCGCGAAAGUGCGGGGAGCAAACAGGAUUAGAUACCCUGGUAGUCCGCACUAUAAACGAUGUGCACUAGGUGUUGGGGCGAGCGUCUCAGUGCCGGAGCGAACGCGAUAAGUGCACCUGCCU